rnacentral:rRNA from 1 species
CUACGGGAGGCAGCAGUAGGGAAUAUUGGGCAAUGGGCGAAAGCCUGACCCAGCAACGCCGCGUGCACGAUGAAGGUCUUCGGAUCGUAAAGUGCUUUUCUGAGAGAUGAGAAAGGACAGUAUCUCAGGAAUAAGUCUCGGCUAACUACGUGCCAGCAGCCGCGGUAACACGUAGGAGGCAAGCGUUAUCCGGAUUUAUUGGGCGUAAAGCGCGUGCAGGUGGUUCGGUAAGUUGGAUGUGAAAGCUCCUGACUCAACUGGGAGAGGUCGUUCAAUACUACCGGGCUUGAGAGCAGUAGAGGGAGGUGGAAUUCCCGGUGUAGUGGUGAAAUGCGUAGAUAUCGGGAGGAACACCAGUGGCGAAAGCGGCCUCCUGGACUGUUUCUGACACUCAGACGCGAAAGCUAGGGUAGCAAACGGGAUUAGAAACCCUGGUAGUCCG